AGACAAAUAAAUAGAUCGUGAUGUCUGAGUAUUUAUUCUUAGACCAUGGUCCUGUCACCUUAGGUCGAUCGGUACCUCAUUUAAAUCAUUCAUGAUUUAAAUCAGUUCCUAAACUGUCUAGGUCACACCCAACAAGGGUACUCCUGGGCCAUUAGCUCAGGUGGUUAGAGCGCACCCCUGAUAAGGGUGAGGUCCCUGGUUCAAGUCCAGGAUGGCCCAUUCGGUGUUGGGGGUAUAGCUCAGUUGGUAGAGCGCCUGCUUUGCAAGCAGGAUGUCAGCGGUUCGAGUCCGCUUACCUCCACUGAUCGAUCUCCUGAUAACUAGUAAAAGGAGAAAGUUGUUGAUUGUGAUUUAGGCUUAUGUUCAGCUGGCUGAACCUAGCUUCCUAUCAUUCCUUAUUUUUUAAAAAGGUUGAAAGGACGCUGGGCUCAUUACAUUUUUAUUAAUGUAAAUUAGUUCAGUAGAACCUUGACAACUGCAUAGGUGAGUCUGGAAAGAAUAAAGCAUCUCAUAGAUGUAUUGUUUUCAGUAUUAAAUUAAGGUAAUUAUUGUCUUAAUUUAAGCUCUUAAAACAAUGAUUUUAUUGAACAAGAGCAAAGAGGUCUGAAAUUUUCUAAAUUAUAGAUCUUUAAAUUAAU
rnacentral:tRNA from 1 species